rnacentral:rRNA from 1 species
CCUACGGGUGGCUGCAGUGGGGAAUAUUGGACAAUGGGCGAAAGCCUGAUCCAGCCAUGCCGCGUGUGUGAAGAAGGCCUUCGGGUUGUAAAGCACUUUCAGUGGGGAAGAAAGCCUUGGGGCUAAUACCCUCGAGGAAGGACAUCACCCACAGAAGAAGCACCGGCUAACUCCGUGCCAGCAGCCGCGGUAAUACGGAGGGUGCGAGCGUUAAUCGGAAUUACGGGGCGUAAAGCGCGCGUAGGCGGUCUGAUAAGCCGGUUGUGAAAGCCCCGGGCUCAACCUGGGAACGGCAUCCGGAACUGUCAGGCUAGAGUGCAGGAGAGGAAGGUAGAAUUCCCGGUGUAGCGGUGAAAUGCGUAGAGAUCGGGAGGAAUACCAGUGGCGAAGGCGGCCUUCUGGACUGACACUGACGCUGAGGUGCGAAAGCGUGGGUAGCAAACAGGAUUAGAUACCCCGGUAGUC